rnacentral:rRNA from 1 species
AUCGAACGCUGGCGGCAUGCUUUACACAUGCAAGUCGAACGGCAGCGCGGGCUUCGGCCUGGCGGCGAGUGUCGAACGGGUGAGUAAAGCAUCGGAACGUGCCCAGUUGUGGGGGGUAGCCCGGCGAAAGCCGGAUUAAUACCGCAUACGACCUGGGGGUGACAGCCGGGGACCGAAAGGCCUCGUGCUCUUGUAGCGGCCGAUGUCGGAUUGGCCAGUUGGUGGGGUAAGGGCUUACCAAGGCGACGAUCCGUAGCUCGUCUGAGAGGACGACAAGCCACCUGGUGAGUGAGCCAGCGCCAAGACUCCUGCGGUAGGCAGCAGUGGGGAAUUUUGGGCAAUGGUGGCGAACCUGAUCCAGGCAUGCCGAGGGCGGGAAGAAGGCGUCAUGGGUGGAAACAGAUUUUGUUCGUGGAGAAAUACUCUGGGCUAAUACCCCGGGGGGAUGACGGUACCGGAAGAAUAAGCACCGGCUAACUACGUG